rnacentral:rRNA from 1 species
GACAGAGGGGGCAAGCGUUGCUCGGAAUCACUGGGCGUAAAGGGCGCGUAGGCGGGAUGGCAAGUCAGUCGUGAAAUCUCUCGGCUCAACCGAGAAACGUCGGCUGAUACUGCCGUUCUUGAGGGAUGCAGAGGAGACUGGAAUUCCCGGUGUAGCAGUGAAAUGCGUAGAGAUCGGGAGGAACAUCCGUGGCGAAGGCGACUACCUGGACCAGCACUGACACUGAGGCACGAAAGCGUGGGGAGCAAACAGG